rnacentral:rRNA from 1 species
UCGUGGGUUGACCUGUCUGCUUGAUUGCGAUAACGAACGAGACCUCCACCUAUUAACUACAGUGCUGCUCUUGAGUGGUGGCUGUUCUUAGAGGGAUUAUCGGUGCAAGCCGAGGGAAGCUGGAGGCAAUAACA